GAUGAACGCUAGCGGCAGGCCUAAUACAUGCAAGUCGAACGGCAUCCCGAUCAAAGCUUGCUUUGGUCUGGUGCGAGUGGCGCACGGGUGCGUAACGCGUGAGCAACCUCCCCUUGUCAGGGGGAUAGCUCGGCGAAAGUCGGAUUAAUACCGAAUGACAUCAUUGGUAGGCACCUUUCGAUGUUCAACGUUUUAUCGUACAAGGAUGCGCUCGCGUGACAUUUGCUGGUGGGUAAGGUAACGGCUUACCAAGGCUGCGAUGUCGAGGGGCUCUGAGAGGAGGAUCCCCCACACUGGUACUGAGGCACAGACCAGACUCCUACGGAACGCAGCAGUAAGGAAGAUAAGGGGAUGGACGGUAGUCUGAACCAGCCGUGCCGGGUACAAAAGGACGGCGCUAGGAGUUGUAAUCUGUUGUUAUACAAAAGCAGACGUCGGUACGUGUACCGGUCUGAGGGUACCGAAAGAAUAAGGAUCGGCUAACUCCGUG
rnacentral:rRNA from 1 species